rnacentral:rRNA from 1 species
ACGGCUCAGUAACACGUGGGCAACCUACCCUCAGGACAGGCAUAACCCCGGGAAACUGGGGCUAAUCCCUGAUAGGCACCCUCAACUGGAAUGUGUCGGUGUCGAAAGCUCCGGCGCCUGAGGAUGGGCCUGCGGCCGAUUAGGUUGUUGGCGGGGUAACAGCCCACCAAGCCGACGAUCGGUACGGGCAGUGAGAGCUGUAGCCCGGAGAUGGGGACUGAGACAAGGCCCCAGGCCCUACGGGGCGCAGCAGGCGCGAAACCUUCACAAUGCUCGAAAGAGUGAUGAGGGUACUCCGAGUGCCAGUGCUUAGCACUGGCUUUUCUGCAGCGUAAAUAGUUGCAGGAAUAAGGGCUGGGCAAGACCGGUGCCAGCCGCCGCGGUAACACCGGCAGCCCUAGUGGUGACCGCUUUUAUUGGGCCUAAAGCGUUCGUAGCCGGGCCGGUAAGUCCUUGGGUAAAUCCUGCGUCUCAAGCGCGGGAAUUCUAAGGAUACUACUGGCCUUGAGGCCGGGAUAGGCGAGAGGUACUCCCGGGGUAGGGGUAAAAUCCUAUAAUCCUGGGGGGA